rnacentral:rRNA from 1 species
GGAAUCUUAGACAAUGGGGGCAACCCUGAUCUAGCCAUGCCGCGUGAGUGAAGAAGGCCCUAGGGUCGUAAAGCUCUUUCGCCGGGGAAGAUAAUGACUGUACCCGGUAAAGAAACCCCGGCUAACUCCGUGCCAGCAGCCGCGGUAAUACGGAGGGGGUUAGCGUUGUUCGGAAUUACUGGGCGUAAAGCGCGCGUAGGCGGAUCCGCAAGUUAGGGGUGAAAUCCCGGGGCUCAACCCCGGAACUGCCCUUAAAACUGCUGGUCUUGAGUUCGAGAGAGGUGAGUGGAAUUCCGAGUGUAGAGGUGAAAUUCGUAGAUAUUCGGAGGAACACCAGUGGCGAAGGCGGCUCACUGGCUCGAUACUGACGCUGAGGUGCGAAAGCGUGGGGAGCAAA